rnacentral:rRNA from 1 species
CCGAAGUUAGCCGGUGCUUNCUCUUCCGGUACCGUCAUCCCCCGACUGUAUUAGAGCCAAGGAUUUCUUUCCGGACAAAAGUGCUUUACAACCCGAAGGCCUUCUUCACACACAGCAGGCAUUGCUGGAUCAUGGCUUUCAGCCCAUUGUCCAAAAUUCCCCACCUGCUGCCUCCCGUAGGA